rnacentral:tRNA from 1 species
GCACCCCUAGCUCAACUGGAUAGAGCAUCGGUCUACGGAACCGAAGGUUGCAGGUUCGAGUCCUGCGGGGUGUA